UACGGAAGGUGCAAGCGUUAAUCGGAAUUACCGGGCGUAAAGCGCGCGUAGGCGGCUUCGUAAGUCGGGUGUGAAAGCCCCGGGCUCAACCUGGGAACGGCACUCGAUACUGCGGAGCUCGAGUACGAGAGAGGGGGGUGGAAUUCCAGGUGUAGCGGUGAAAUGCGUAGAGAUCUGGAGGAACACCGGUGGCGAAGGCGGCCCCCUGGUUCGAUACUGACGCUGAGGUGCGAAAGCGUGGGGAGCAAACAGG
rnacentral:rRNA from 1 species